rnacentral:rRNA from 2 species
UGGGGGAUAUUGCACAAUGGGGGAAACCCUGAUGCAGCGACGCCGCGUGGAGGAAGAAGGUUUUCGGAUUGUAAACUCCUGUCGUUAGGGACGAUAAUGACGGUACCUAACAAGAAAGCACCGGCUAACUACGUGCCAGCAGCCGCGGUAAAACGUAGGGUGCAAGCGUUGUCCGGAAUUACUGGGUGUAAAGGGAGCGCAGGCGGACCGGCAAGUUGGAAGUGAAAACUAUGGGCUCAACCCAUAAAUUGCUUUCAAAACUGCUGGCCUUGAGUAGUGCAGAGGUAGGUGGAAUUCCCGGUGUAACGGUGGAAUGCGUAGAUAUCGGGAGGAACACCAGUGGCGAAGGCGACCUACUGGGCACCAACUGACGCUGAGGCUCGAAAGCAUGGGUAGCAAACAGGAUUAGAUACCCUGGUAGUCCAUGCCGUAAACGAUGAUUACUAGGUGUUGGAGGAUUGACCCCUUCAGUGCCGCAGUUAACACAAUAAGUAAUCCACCUGGGGAGUACGACCGCAAGGUUGAAACUCAAAGGAAUUGACGGGGGCCCGCACAAGCAGUGGAGUAUGUGGUUUAAUUCGAAGCAACGCGAAGAACCUUACCAGGUCUUGACAUCCGAUGCAUAGUGCAGAGAUGCAUGAAGUCCUUCGGGACAUCGAGACAGGUGGUGCAUGGUUGUCGUCAGCUCGUGUCGUGAGAUGUUGGGUUAAGUCCCGCAACGAGCGCAACCCUUAUUGCCAGUUACUACGAAAGAGGACUCUGGCGAGACUGCCGUUGACAAAACGGAGGAAGGUGGGGAUGACGUCAAAUCAUCAUGCCCUUUAUGACCUGGGCUACACACGUACUACAAUGGCGUUUAACAAAGAGAAGCAAGACCGCGAGGUGGAGCAAAACUCAAAAACAACGUCUCAGUUCAGAUUGCAGGCUGCAACUCGCCUGCAUGAAGUCGGAAUUGCUAGUAAUCGCGGAUCAGCAUGCCGCGGUGAAUACGUUCCC